rfam:Brachypodium distachyon strain Bd21 chromosome 2, whole genome shotgun sequence.
AAGCUACUCCCUCCGAUCUUAAAUUGUUGUCAAAAUAUUACAAGUAUCUAGACAUCUUUUAAAAAUAGAUACGUCCAUAUUUAGGCAAAUUUGAGACAAGAAUUUAGGAUCGGAGGGAGUAUAUA